CCGCCGGCGACCGGCGCACGGGUGAGUAACACGUAUGCAACCUGCCCGUCUCAGGGGGAUAAUCGUCGGAAACGGCGUCUAAUACCCCGUAUGAAGCUGGACGGCAUCGUCUGGUUUUGAAAGAAUAUCGGAGACGGAUGGGCAUGCGGCGCAUUAGCUAGUUGGCGGGGUAACGGCCCACCAAGGCGACGAUGCGUAGGGGUUCUGAGAGGAAGGUCCCCCACACUGGUACUGAGACACGGACCAGACUCCUACGGGAGGCAGCAG
rnacentral:rRNA from 1 species